AGAGUUUGAUCCUGGCUCAGGACGAACGCUGGCGGCGUGCCUAACACAUGCAAGUCGAGCGAGGGGAGUUCUUCGGAACAAACCUAGCGGCGGACGGGUGAGUAACACGUGGGUAACCUGCCUCAGUGAGGGGGAUAGCCUUCCGAAAGGAAGAUUAAUACCGCAUAAUAUCUGAUGAUCGCAUGAUCAUUUGAUUAAAGGAGUAAUCCGCACUGAGAUGGACCCGCGGCGCAUUAGCUAGUUGGUGAGGUAACGGCUCACCAAGGCCACGAUGCGUAGCCGACCUGAGAGGGUGAUCGGCCACAUUGGAACUGAGAUACGGUCCAGACUCCUACGGGAGGCAGCAGUGGGGAAUAUUGCACAAUGGGCGAAAGCCUGAUGCAGCAACGCCGCGUGAGUGAUGAAGGCCUUCGGG
rnacentral:rRNA from 1 species